AAUUAUAUCUAUCCCAAAUGUAAUCUCAAAAAGUUGUAUUCGUAAACUUGACGCACACAAGACGUUUUAUUUUCAAACAAUAAUCGAAGGAUAUUUUCUUGGUACCUGCACCCAGAUGCCGUUCAACCUGUAAAAAAAAUAAUUAUUAGAACGUAAACUUUGUAUACGAAUGUUUAUCUUAAGCAUGAAAAAUCAGUAAGUGCAAUGGUUUGUCUGUCAUUUUCUUCCGAGAGAUUCCCACACAAAAAUUCAUCAUUAUAAUUAGACCCUACUGAAAAUUUUUAUAAACUUACUCAA